CUAAUCUGAAAAUCUAGACCUUGGUCCAUAAUUUCUCCAAACUCCCCCACCUGGACAUCCCCAUAUCUAAACCCUCCCAAACAAAUUCAAACAACUCCGCCUAUCUCUCCCUAUACCCAACCUCACACUGUCUCGGUGUCUCCGUCUUUCCUCCACCAGCACGGCCGCUAACUGUGCGCUCCUCCCUCUAUCCGCCACCCUAUCUUAUCCGAGUUCUUCUAUGUUUCUCCUCCGUCUUUGUUAAGGAUAUUGGGUUGUGCGCAAUUUCAGCCACCCAUUGUGGCGCUUUAAGAAUCAAUGGCAACGAGUCCUGGAUCGAUGGUAGUGGUGGCUUGCCGUGCUGUUUUGAGCAACAACCACAUGACAGUGCUUGUCACGCGCCACGGAGUACAACUUCAUGGGCCGCCUGCUGUGUGUGUCGCGAGCAACAUAUUUGCAUUACGUAUCUCUGCUGCCUUCAAGCCUUCUCGGCGGCAUUACACCACUGCUCCUCUUGUUGAAGGUGCGAUGCGAACAGAUGGUGCUGUGAGUUUAAGAGGAGUGUCUCUUACUUUAGUAGCUGCAGAGAAGGAAGAAGCUAAAGCUGUUUUGACGUUAUUUCUGAAAAAACAGGGAUUGGGCAGUGCUGCUGCAUCAAGAACCAUAAACAAGUCAGAUCUUUUCAUUGACCACCUCGUGUCUCAGCUUCACUCCAUUCAUAAAUCUCGGUAUCUCGUAGGUAGGGAGUUGUCAACCCUUGAAAUCAGAGAUGCUCUUAUUCCUUACCUUGAAAACCUGCAACAAGAGCAUGGAAGUAAUUUGGUUGAUGUCGUGGAGAACUUUCCAAAUACGCCUGUUAAAGAAAAAGUGACAGCAGAAGUUGUCUCCCCAAAUGUAACUUUAGAAUCAAAAAAGAUGUCUGAUGAGACUGUUAAGUCCAGGAAGCUUAAGGCUAUGGCUCGGGUUAGUGGGUCGGUCCCAACAGAGAAGCUUCCCCAGCAUGUUAUUUAUCUCAUUGAACUCGGGAUGGAUCUUGAAGAUAUCCAGCAGGUUACUCGAAAGUUCCCAGCUUUUGCCUAUUACAGUUUGGAUGGAAAAGUCAGGCCUGUGGUUGAGUUUCUUCUUGAACUUGGUAUUCCAAAAUCUGAAAUACCCAUUAUUCUCCGUAAGAGACCCCAAUUAUGUGGAAUCAGUCUUUAUGAAAACCUAAUACCCACCAUGAAGUUCUUGGAGAGCUUGGGUUUGGACAAGAAAAAAUGGGCAAAAGUGAUAUACCGAUUUCCACCCCUUCUUACCUAUAGCAGGCAAAAGUUAAUGUCAACAGUUGAUUUCCUAUAUGAAAUGGGUCUCACAGCACAGGAUGUUGGCAAGAUUCUGACACGUUGCCCAAACAUAAUAAGCUAUAGUGUUGAGGAGAACUUACGGCCAACAGCAGAGUAUUUUUCUUUGUUAGGUAUAAAUGUUGCUGUUGUUCUGCAAAGAUCACCGCAGACUUUUGGACUAAGCAUCGAAGGAAACUUAAAGCCUAUAACAGCAUUUUUCUUGGACAAGGGCUAUAGUUUGGAGGAUCUUAGGACCAUGAUCCAAAGAUAUGGAACCCUGUAUACUUUUAGCUUGGUCGGGAACAUGAUACCGAAAUGGAAUUUCUUUUUAACCAUGGACUAUCCCCAAUCAGAACUUGUCAAGUUUCCCCAAUUUUUUGGUUAUAGUUUGGAAGAAAGGAUUAAGCCAAGGUAUGCUCUCGUCAGGCAAUAUGGGGUGAAGUUGCUUCUGAACCAAGUGUUAUCUUUAUCAAGUGAUGACCUUGAAAAGGUUUUGAAAAGGAAGUUGAAACGAUAUGGCGGACAGGUUCUAACGGAAUAGCCUGAAUUGGAUGCUGUAUUCUUUGACAUGUUUGUCAUGACGAAGUUGCUCAUAUAGACGACUUUAUUAGGGGAUUUUGUUAGCUGACUGGGAGAAUGUUUGAGGUACUAGAAUGACUGUUUGGAAAAUGUACUCUGAUUGAUCUAGCACUCUUUAGAGUCGAAUUGUGAGCAGAAUAAAUCUGACUGUCCCAAAGACCCAGACUGUGGGUUCUUGUUGCUCUCUGAAUCUUUUUGCAACCUUAAAUGUUACUCUGGCCAUCCCAUGUAUUCAUUCGCUAAUGGCACAGGGAUUGAGGAGAGAGAAAAAUAGGUUAGUGGAUGUUGGCCCAACUUUUAUGCGAAGUAAUGAAGUUUCUUACUAAAUGGAGAACGUAUACUUGAAUACGGGACAGCCAUUUUUGGUGUUCCAUGCUUCUGAAUUCCAGGCAGGAGGCUAGAGUUCAAUCUUCGCCAGACUCACUCUUGGGGAAUCCCCUUACGUCCCUCAGGGGUGGGUCUAUUAAUCUGAUUUAAAAAAAAGAUGCUUCAGUAUGGGAUGGAGUAAGUAUUUCUUAACUUGCUUUUUCUUCUGCUUAUACACACAUGGUGCACAGCCGCACAUUGUCUCUUUGAUGAUUCAAGUAAUCAGUAAGCAGUGACACCUUCUUAAGUAUUUAAUAUGCACAUCUUGAACUCAUUAGCAGUGGGGUCGAGUCCGUCCUUUUCACUAUAGGCUACAUUGUGAUAUUUGGUUCAGAAAAAUUGAGAAAAAUGAUGUUUUAGUCCAAUGGGGUGAGUUGUGUACUAUAUUUCCUUGGUUAUCCUAUAUGAUCUUUGGCCUGCAAUUGGUGUACCUAUGAAACAUGCAUGAGUUCGGCUAAGCAAUGCCGAGCUGAUUCGAACAAUAUUCCAGAUUAUAAAGAUUACUGGUUUUGUGGUAUCUGAAGUUCUGAAUAACGGUUCUCAGAAAGUGUAAGUGGCUUUAUGCUUAGAAUGGUAGAAAUGCAUCAAAUUCAAGUGUGCCCGUAUGUGUGAAUUAAGACACAGGAGACGAAAAGUCCUCUUAACGAGCUAAUCAUAUUUCCACUCCCCUGUUGGUCUUUCACACGGUAUUAUUUACUGAUAAUAACCCAAGUUUAAUUUAAGAAAGGGAUGUACAUGAAUUUCCCAAGAUUUGCAUUCCUCAUGUAGUCAAUGUUACUCCUUAACUGAUACAUAAAAGUCUGAAGUACAAAUACAGGGGUGUUCUGUUGCUGUAACCGACAUGAAAUCCUGAACCAUGUCUUUGUCAUCACGAUUGACGAAUAAAA